AUCUCGUUGUGCUGUAAAACAUGGCGGCCUAUAGUUCUGACUUUAAACACCUUUUCUCCAAUCUGGGGCAGAGUUAGUAAGUGUUAUUUGGGUAGAAGAAGGAUAUUAUUGUGUUAUAUGGUCUGUAACUACUAGCUUUCCACUGCAGUUUUAUAAAAUAGAAAUAUAUCCAUUUUUUAGUCUAUUUAUGGUCUGUUUUGUAAAAGCCUUUUCUGGAAAACUAUGCAAUUUGAAGAGAGCAAGAUGUUCUGAUAAUGUUGGCCUUUAUGAAGACUAGUGGACUCCAGGAGCUAUAUUCUGCUUAUCAGGAAGAACAAGACUGUUUCAAAGGAGAGGAAGAAGAUGCUGGUCGGAAAGAGGAGGAUGCUUAAGCAUAAAUAAUGUUCUCAUCCAAUGGUGGCAGGAUUGUGUUGAUGCUCCUGUUGAUGGACCUACUCUCUCUCCAAUAGGGUCACCAGUGGGAGGGGCUGGGGGCAGAGCUUACAAUGAUAGCAAUGAAAUAUCAGCUUUCUUUGAUGUCCUUGAAUCUUGUGCCCACGUUUUUGAGUAUUUUGGAAGAAUAGCAAUCAAUAAGAAAUGGUAAGCUAUAGGACUAGGAUGAAGCUUCCAAAGGUUUA